rnacentral:rRNA from 1 species
UACAGAGGGUGCAAGCGUUGUUCGGAAUUACUGGGCGUAAAGGGCGCGUAGGCGGGAUGGCAAGUCGGUCGUGAAAUCCCUCGGCUCAACCGAGGAACGUCGAUCGAUACUGCUGUUCUUGAGGAUUGCAGAGGAGACUGGAAUUCCAGGUGUAGCGGUGAAAUGCGUAGAUAUCUGGAGGAACACCGGUGGCGAAGGCGGCAUCCUGGACCGGCAUUGACGCUGAGGAGCGAAAGCCAGGGGAGCAAACGGG